AUGCUCGGCGACUCCGGCGGCAACGGCGGCGGCGGGCCGUGGCCUGUCCGCAACCAGUGGCCGCGGGAGGAGACGCUGGCGCUCAUCAGGAUCCGGUCGGAGAUGGCCGCCGCCUUCCGCGACGCCGCCGUCAGGGGCAAGGUUCCCCUCUGGAUCUGGGAAGAGGUCUCCGGCAAGCUCGCGGAGCUCGGCUACGAGAGGAGGAGCGCCAAGAAGUGCAGGGAGAAGCUCGGGGGCAUGCACAGGUCCUACAAGCGCGCCGAGCAGAGCCGGGCCGGCAGGCAGGACGGCAGGACCUACCGCUUCUCCGAGGCGCUCGACGCGCUGCACGCCGCCACCGCCCGCGCGUGGCUGCAGAAGCACCAGGAGCAGCUGCUGAUGGUCCUCGGCGGCCGCGGCCCCCCGCAGCCGCACGCCGCCUUCUCGGCGCCGCGGCCGAUGAGCGCAAUGCCGCCGCCGCCGCCGCCGCCACCGAGGUUCCCGAUCAUGCCGGCUCCUGUUUCCUGGGCGGCGCCUGCGGCGGCGGUGGAGCUCCCCCAGCCACCUCCCGUCUGUCUGCAAGGCCUGAGCGUCCCGUCCAUGUCCGAGUCUGGGUCCGACGACGACGACGGGCCCGAGGACGGCGAGAUGGCGGCGGCGACCGGCGACGGCCCGGGCGGCCUCGGCAAGCGCAAGCGCGGCGGCGUCAGGAAGAAGAUGAUGGCUUUCGUGGAGGGGCUGAUGAAGCAGGUCGUCGAGAGGCAAGAGGAGAUGCAGCAGCGGUUCCUGGCGGCCAUGGAGAAGAGGGAGGCGGAGCGCGCGGCGCGGGAGGAGGCCUGGCGCCGGCAGGAGGUGGCCCGGCUCAAGCGCGAGCAGGAGCAGCGCGCGCACGAGCGCGCCGCGGCGGCCGCGCGUCACGCCUCCGUCAUCGCCUUCAUCCAGCGCGUCGGCGGGCAGGCCGCGCAGGUCCCGCCCGUCGUCUUCCCUACGCCGAUGCCGACGCCGACGCCGACGCCGAUGCAGUUCCAGACGUCGCUGCCGUCUCAGGCCACACCGGAGCCCAUCGCAGCCGCGCCGCUCCAACGCCACCCACCGCCGCAACCUCGACAGAAGCUGCCGCCGCGACGAGCCACACCACCGCCGCCGCAGCAGCAGCAGGCCAUCCCAGCUGCGCCGCUCCAAUGGCAGCCACCGCCGCCGCGAGCCACGCCGCCGCAGCCCAUCCCAGCCGCGCCGCUCCAAUGGCAGCCGCCGCCGCAACCACCACAGGCACAGCACAAGGAAAUGACGCGGGAAGAGGCGCACUGCCCCCGACUUCAGCCGGCUCAUCAUCACUCGCCCUGGUUACCGCCGCCAUGGAGCAGUGCUUCUCCCAAGUUUGCAGAUCACAGCUUGCAGCAGUCGUAG
rnacentral:rRNA from 1 species